AUUCCGGCAACGGGGAUUAGCGGCGAACGGGUGAGUAAUGCAUACUUAACAUGCCUCGGCGAGGGAGAUAGCUGCCCGAAAGGGUAAUUAAUAUCCCAUAGUAGCCUUUCCCUUAUGGGGAGGGUUUUAAAGGAGCAAUCCGCGCCGAGAUUGGAGUAUGUUCCAUUAGCUUGUUGGUGGGGUAAUGGCCCACCAAGGCAAUGAUGGAUAGCUGGUCUAAGAGGAUGAACAGCCACAAUGGGAUUGAGAUACGGCCCAUAUUCCUACGGGAAGCAGCAGUAGGGAAUCUUCCACAAUGGGCGAAAGCCUGAUGGAGCUAUGCCAUGUGAAUGAUGAAGAUCUUUUUGAUUGUAAAGUUCUUUUAUUGGGGAAAAUGAUGAUGGUACCCGAUGAAUAAGUGACAGCAAACUAUGUGCCAGCAGCUGCGGUAAUACAUAGGUCGCUAGCGUUAUUCGGAUUUAUUGGGCGUAAAGCAAGCGCAGGCGGACGAGUAAGUUCUGUGUUAAAAGCAGCAGCUCAACUGUUGUUUGCGCCGAAUACUGCUCGUCUAGAAUACGGUAGAAGAGUUUCGGAAUUGAAUAUGGAGCGGUGGACAUGUGUAGAUAUAUUCAAGCACACCAGAGGUGAAGGCGGAAACUUAGGCCGCUAUUGACGGUUAGGCUUGAAAGUGUGGGGAGCAAAUGGGAUUAGAUACCCCAGUAGUCCACACCGUAAACGAUGGAUAUUAGAUGUUGGGACUUGAGUCUCAGCGUUGUAGCUUAGGUGUUAAAUAUCCCGCCUUAGUAGUACAUAUGCAAAUAUGGAACUCAAACGAAUGGUGGGGCACCUGAACAAGUGGUGGAACAUGUUGAUUACUUUGCCAACACACGACAAACCUUACCAAGAUUUGACAUCCCUUGCUAAACCCUAGAAAUAGGGUGGAAGUUAUCAAGGUGACAGGUGGUGCAUGGCUGUGGUCAGCUCGUGUCAUGAGAUGUUUGGGUACGUCCCGCAACGAGCGUAACCAUCCUUCUUAGUUACCUUUUUAGAGAGACUGCACAGUAAAGUAGAGGAGGGAUGGGAGCAGGUCACGUCAUCAUGCCCCCCAUAUCUUGGGCCGCACACGUGUUACAAAGGGGAGUACACAGUGUCGCAAACCAGCGAUGGUAAGCCAAUCACUAAAAGCUCGUUCAGUCCGGUAAAAGUCUGAAAUUCGCCUUUUGAAGUGGAAUCAGUAGUAUUCCGGUC
rnacentral:rRNA from 1 species